CAGCCGCCGCGGUAAUACGUAGGUGGCAAGCGUUAUCCGGAAUUAUUGGGCGUAAAGCGCGCGUAGGCGGUUUUUUAAGUCUGAUGUGAAAGCCCACGGCCCAACCGUGGAGGGUCAUUGGAAACUGGAAAACUUGAGUGCAGAAGAGGAAAGUGGAAUUCCAUGUGUAGCGGUGAAAUGCGCAGAGAUAUGGAGGAACACCAGUGGCGAAGGCGACUUUCUGGUCUGUAACUGACGCUGAUGUGCGAAAGCGUGGGGAUCAAACAGGAUUAGAUACCCGCGUAGUCCCUGUCUCUUAUAC
rnacentral:rRNA from 1 species